GUGUCCUGGAAAUGCUGAGAAUGGAGAUGGAACCCCAAUUUCUCCGCCAACUCAGAGGCCAUUGCUUAGGCUGCCCUGGGAGACUUGCUUGUCUUUGAAACCAUGAGCCUCUUAUGGACAAGAGAAGCCCUGUCACGAGCUUUAACACAAUGGAACCAGCUUAUUCUUGAGGUAGUGAGUUUCCUGUCUCUGGAUGUAUUUAAGCAAAGACUGAACAGUCACCUAGCAGGCAUGUUGUUGACUGGACUUUUCAUGGGGUGGAGGCAUAGACUCGAUGGCCUCUUCCAACUUUGAGAGUCCUUAAACCUCUGAUAUCCCCUUUGCUUGUAUGAGUCAGUGCCUAAAUGUCCACCACUGCAGAAGGCAAAUCUCUCUCUUUCUCAAAUUACUCUUGAGGGAGCAAAUGCUAACAAUUCUCACUGGAGUGUUAAUGCCUCAAAAGGUUUUCUCUUCUGAAAGUGGUCAUGAUUAGGGGAGCUUGGCUGGGCUUCAGCUCACUCCUAGCUCAGUCAACUCUUCCAAAUUAGCUAACCGUCUCAGUGAAGCCAGUGUGGUUACUCUGCAGGCCAGCUUUAAGACAAAUUCUCUAGUUCUGAAAAACAGAUUCCCAAGGCCUCUGAUGCAAUACUGAUUCAAUAGGUCUGAGGUAGGAUUAUAAAAAUGUUUCCAGGUGAUUCUGAGGGUCAGCCUGAUUUGGGAACACUUUGCUAAGCUUUGCCUCAACCCAAUGCCCAAGGAGCAAGUGGGAGGAUUAUUCUGACCUCAGUCUGUCAAGCUUGUAGAUUUCCAUGGGAUGCUCUUGUUCUGAUCCAGGGUUAAGGCACCAUUGUGCUGAGAGCACAACUCACCACUGUCGCCUGCCCUCAGCCUCUCCCAACAGAAACAGCAUGGAAGUGGAAGAGUUUGAAAAAGAACAAGGUGCUACAAACAAGUCAGGAAUUUGUUCUGCAGGCCUGUCAAGUCUAUAAAUAUCUAGAAUCCUGCUUACCAAGUAUUGGUGUGAGGGUUGAUGAUGAAACCGAUGCUCACAGAGUUGAAAUAAGCUGCUGAAGGUCAUGCAGUGACAAUGGGAAGAAGGAAAUAACCUGAGAGAGUGCACACCAAUCAUUUCAACGGCAAAAUCCAAAAGUGGCACACAUCGUUUCAGAUCCCAUCCCAUUGGUUGGGACAUAGUCACUGGUUUCACAUAGCUGCAAGAAAGGAUGGAAAAUGAAGUCGUUACCUGGACAGCUGAGCUAUGUGCUCAGCUAAAACUGAGAAAAGGGAUUUGGGGGCACAAUUAGCAAUCUGCCACAGCCUCCAAUGAAGGUCUUGGAAUCCAGAAGGUUGGCAAUCCAGAAGAGCAUUGUACAGCUGCCCCUUCAUUCUAUAAUUCCUGUCUCACUCAACUUUGAGCCUUUGAGAUGUCAGCAUUGGAAACGUUAGAGUCAGAUAGUGAAAGCUUUGCUAAUUUGACAAGGAAUGAAGGUUCAUUAAACUUCUAAAUGUGGCAUUUUUAUAGGUUAUGGCCAAACUGAAGUUGGCCAAGCGUGAAUAUCAUUAGCUGCAGUUUUGUUUGUACUCCAUAGUAUGUUGUUCCUCUCUCUCUCUCUCUCCCUCCCUCUCCUUAUCUACAUUUUCUUUCUGUUUUUGGGACUCUCCUUUUUGCAUCGAUAGGUACUCAAGAAAAAAAUUCAGGGUUUCAGUUGGAAAAAACAAGUUUUAAAGUAGAAUUUUCAACAAGACGCCUAAUGAACGGUGGUCUAUUCGCACAGCUGAACACCCUACUCACAAAUCUCUUUCUCUUAUAGAUUUGUGAGGAACAGGAGGUUAUAUUCUCUGCAUGGGAUUUUGCUUCUGGGCUAGGGUUGACUGCAAGUUUAUUGGAAUGAGCACUACGUUUUGUUUUGUUUUCACCAUAAGGGACUUCUGCAAGGAGCCCCAGUGCUCAUCACGUGCUGUGAGGAAAAUGGAGAGAGUUUGCAGAACAGUUCUCUCCCUUCAUUCAAAAUUAGGUUCAAGCUGAGAACCGCUGGUGAUUUUUCAAGUCCUGUUUUGGAUGAAAUAAGCAGACAUGUUUGAAUUAAUUAAUGUUGUAAGGCGACUCUUAGCACUGAGACUGAGCUAGUGCCUGAUAGAAGGAGCGCUGAGCCAGGAAUCACAAAACCCCUGUCCUAGCCUUGGCAUCGCCACCAACUCCUUGUGGGACCAUGAACAAAUCGCCAACAUUUCUGUGCCUUCGUUCCCCACUUACAUAAAUACAGAGAUAUUUGCACUUCUAGAAGAAGAAUGGUUGUGUCGAUACUCUGGUGUGACUUUGUUAUGAUAACACAGGAAGACUGAGGUGCAGUGGGCCCUUGCGAAUCAUCCUCCCCUCCAUGAACCAGGUGGAAUAGACCAUUCCCUUCUCAGAGACCCCUGGACCCUACAUCCUAGUACCCUAUACUAUAAGUCCUGCAAUAUUUGGUGGCUUAUAUUUUAUUUAUGGGUCUGCUUUCCCAUGGGCUUCUUAAAGAGUGUGCAUUUCUCAUUUGAUCGCUACAGUGCCUACUACUGUGGUUGGCACUUGAUAUUGGAUAAAUGAAUGAAAUAAAGCACACCCAAAGUUAGAUGGCUGGUCAGGGGCUGGUUAGUGGCUGGUUAGGGCUGGGUCAAGUCUGGUUACUCCCAGACCAGUCUUUUGCAUAUUUGACCUCUCCCUACUCUCAAGAAUAAGGGUGAAAUAGGACAUCAAACGUAAGAAGUGCUCACGCUCUGGAGAUUCUGGUGCAGGAGAGGAGUGGUUUCCUCUGCUCAGGCUUGUUCUGCUAUUUCAGCCUCUUGGUCCUUAAUGACGGUUUAUUCUCAUAGCACACUUCUCUCUCUCUUUUACCUCAAGAAUCUCUGCUUGGGAUAGAGGUGGGCAGAGGUUGGGCAGAGGUGCCUCAAGCCAAACCAAGGAGGAAGAUAUUGCACUGGGGCUCAGAGUACUUCAGAGGAGCUUUUGAUGUCGAAAUCCAAAGCGCACGAUAUCUGCUCUCCAGGGUGAGGGCUAACAUCAUCUCUCCAAGAUGAGGCUUGCAGCAGCUGCCCUAAGAAGGCAGAAUGUCUCACACCCUCGGAAUUAGACACUAGACACCAAGAGGCCUAUGGCUGGGGCUGUCUCUCAGGUCUUCACCUGACACUGCUCUGUCUGCUUAAGAAUGGGCUCCAUGGGGGCCGGCCCAUGGCUGAGUGGUUAAAGUUCCUCACACUCUGCUUCUGCAGCCCAGGUUCCCGGGUUCAGAUCCCAGGUGCAGACCUACUCCACUCAUCAGCCAUGCUGUGGAAGCAUCCCACAUACAAAAAGUAGAGGAAGAUUGGUGCAGAUGUUAUCUCAGGGCCAAUCCUCCUCACCAACAAAACAAAAAGAAGAAGAAGAAGAAGAAGAAGAAGAAGAAAAAGAAUGGGGUUCAUGCUCUGGUAGUCAAAAUAAGCACGCAAGACAGGGAAGGACAGAGGCCAGAGCCUCAAGAGGUCCUGAAAGGGGCUGCUUUUAGCACAUGGAGGGGAAUGAGAACCAAAGCCACAGCAACAGGCAUAGGAGGAAGGAAGGCUGCUGUGGGGUCACUGGGAGAAAGGCUUCCUGCCAUUGUCUGGCCACACGGGGUGGGUUGCAAAUAAAAAUAGGUGGAAUUCGAAGACUGCUUGUGUGCAUCUGGAGUCAGCUCCAUGCAGAGAAUCCAUUUGUGCUGUGAUUGGGGGCCGUGCAGAAAUGACUCAGGGCAUUUUAGCCCUGUGCAUAUGGGAUUCGGAGAUCGGCAGAGACCCAAGGAGAGAGAUUGAUAAACUCCAACCACACUCUGAGCCGUCGAAAGAAGAGUUGCUCAGCCUGUGAGUCCUAGCCAGCGAUGUUUGAUAGAACAGAGAACCACGCAAUACAAAACACUAGAGUCUGACACAACACCGAGGGCCAGGCACGGAGGCCUCAAUGUGCUGUUUCAUCCAAGCUGCACAGGGGCAGAAAGCCAGGUUCUGAAGGAUUCUUAGGUUCUCAUUCUUCUUGCCUAAGAUUUAUUGAUAGUUUAGAGAUGGCUAUUUGGGGAUCUUGUAUUCCCUGGCACCUUUUUUCUCUUUAUUUAAAAUUUUUUUUAAUUUUCUAUUAUGGAAAAUGUCAACUAUGUAUACAAAAAUAAACAUCAUAAUCUAAUGGACCCCUAUGUUCCCAUCAACCACCUUCAACAAUUAUCAACCCAUGGCCACACUUGUUUCAUCGGUACCCUCAUCUACUUUCUCCAUAUCACUUGGAAAAAAAUUAAGACAUCAUAUAAUUUCAUCUAAAAUAUUUCAUGUUAUAUUUCUAAAACAUAAGGACUCUUUAUAAAAAAACAUAGCUAUUCCAUUAUGAUGCCUAAAAAAAAUUAGGAUUCUGUAAUGUCAUCAAAUAUACAGUAAGUGUUCAAAUUUCCAAUUCCUUACGUCUAACCAUGUCUUCCUCAUAGUUCCCCUCAGACUCACUCCAUCCCCCAUCCAGAGAGAAAAUCAAGGCAGACUUAUCAUGCAAAGAAAGAAGCUCUGAUGCCCUGGCCCUUUUGUUUCCACCCUAUAGUAAUGGAACAAACACGUGGUGUGCCAGGAACAGAGAAGGCAACCCCCAAAUUGGAAGCAAGCACAUUGGCAACAUAAAGAGAAAGUAACUGACAAAUCCCUAAUUCUGGAAGAUACCCAGAGAGGCUGGGCCUGGAGCCAGGAGCUUAACAAGUUUCCAUUGUUAUUGGCAGCCGACAAAUUUAGAAGCAGACAGGGGACCUUCUUAUCACGGGGAAUUUUGUUAGCUGAGGCUGUAUGCAUUUAAAAAGCACAAUCAACCUGUAGUGAGCUAAGGGAUUAAACAUGAUUUUUCUCAACUUGAAUGACCCCUCUCCCUAAAUUAAGCUGCCUAUUUAGCGCCCUUAAUAAAUACAUAGAUAAUUUAAACCAUGUGGCAGCAAAUUGAAAACACGGGCUUUUUGAACUAUGUAUUUUCUUUCUCAUGUUGGAACAUUUCCCUUGAGAAAAUCUCAGGUCUCAUGAUUAUGGAAAAGAAAAGAUCUGUAUAUCUUUCUGAUUAAGUGUUUCAUGAUACACACAUACACGUUGAUCAAGUUUUUUCUUCUUUCUUGGCUAAAGUGAAGCAUAUGCUUCUGACAAAAGUGUUCCAUCGACACUUCUUUGGCCGCUGCACGGUCUAUUUGUCAACAAAACAAAAUGUGAAAGGAUUAUAUUUCUGUAAAAGUAAUUACAUUUCAAAGUGGCUUGUUGUGAUAUACCAUGUGGCAUUACGUUGACCCAAGAUGCUGUUUUCUGCCCAGUUGUUAGAAGUAAUGAUCUGUACUUACAAGUCGGUAAAAUAUUCAACUAUGUAUCUUCUCUGGUGCUUGAUUGGGGACAAUAAUAUUCCUUGCUGGACUACCUGGAGGUUUGAACUGAAUGCUCUGACAUGCCCGUUUUCAGAUAUUUAUACUCACCUACUAAUUUAAAAUACAGUCUACACACACAUACACACACACACACAAAUAUUUACUUUAACAUUAGGAAUCUUGAUUUGGAUCAAAAAACAUUAUAAGGUGACAAAGAUAUUCUUUAUAAUUUCUGUAUGAUUUCCCCCUCUCCUUGAAUUAAUGAGUCGCAUCAAAGAGUGUCUCAACUUUUAGAAGCUUUGUUACAAUUUGGUUUGACCUCUUUUAUGUAUGUCCAAAAAAAAGGCCCAUAAGCAGUUUUCCGUGCUCAUGGGCCCAUGGGAUUUAUCUGGUCUCUUCAUCUUCUCUGUGGUCAGAGUAUUUUCUGAGACAGUCUUCACCACAAAUUCUCUAGAGAUAAAGUCUGCAGCUUCCCUUCCGAUUCCCAGCUUGUGACCCUGCCCAUUAUCAAGCAACGAGUCUGAGACAAAAUUAGAUAGUAAGUCAAAUCUUGAAAUUCCAAUUUUAAACUGUAUUGACUUUCUCCUGCUACAGAUGUGACAAAUGAAAGUAUCCUAUCAGUAGACCAUUCUCGGCUUCUGCUAAGACACCCAGGAUAUUUCAAGAAGGGGAGAUUCCGCCACCCAAAGGUGGGGUGGGGUGGGGAAUAUUCACAUAGGCAAAUUUCAUCUGGUUAAAACUUUUUGUUUUCUCUUGAAAGAUGAACAUCGAAAAACAAGUCUUCAAGGCCAGACUUUAUCAGGACACAAAAGCCUAAUUGUCUGAUAAAGCAUGUGCAGACACAAGAACGCUGGCCUUUGAGUCCAUUAAAUAGUAACAUGCCAUGGGGCUGGCACCCCCAUUUGAAUUAGUUCUCUGAGUGUCCACUGCCUGACUUCUCUGCGCUGACUGUCUGAUGUCGGGAAUCAAUGGUAUCAUUUGAAGGAGCCAGUCUUUCAGAUGGAAGCAUGAAAGCUUCUUAGGAAGCCUUUAUACUGUAUUAGUUUGUAAAUCUAAAUAUUGCAUGCAGUUCUUGGUUCAACAAUGCUCCUCUUUCUCUAUAAUUUACUGAAACUAAUUGGAUACAGGACACAGCUAGCUGGUGGGCAAGUUGAGAUGUUUCAGCUAGCUUCUGAGGCAGUACAUGGCAGAAGAAAGCAAAACUCCUUGGCCUAAUUUCUUAACGAUGCGAUUAGUGCGUAUCUCUGCAAGGAGUUAUUUAACUGAAACGGGCAUAGAGAUUGGUCUUUACAAAUUAUUCAGAAGUUAUUUAGAAAGAAAUAAUCUGUAAAGUAUUCAUUUUAGAGAUUAUCUGAACAGUUGAAAACUAAGAGGCUAUGUAUAGCUACUAUACUGUCUCAUGUUUUUACUUUACCAGGAUUACAGAAAAGAUAGAUUUAUUAGAAGCAAAAUGACUGUUUGUGAUGAUUUUGGUGUUGGAUCUAGUGUUACUUAUAUAAUCACAAAUGCAGAUGAUUAUUCUCUUCAUUUUCUCUUAUUGAGCUCCUGGUAUUUAUAAAACGUGUAUAAUGCAGAGCCAUGACAAGGGGGACAUUUUGGUGGUUUCGCAUGACCAAAUCCUAGUGGAGGAUGGUACACCAAGCCCAGUGAAUGCAGUAUAGCUAGACCAGCCCUCUAAAGCUGUGCUGUCCAAUAUGGUAUCCACCAGCCACCUGUGCCUGUUAAAAUUAAAAUUGAAAACUCAAUUCUUCAGCCACGUUUCAAGAGCUUAAUGGCUAUCGUGUUACACACUUCCAUCAUUGCAGCAAGGGUUUUUGGAAAGUGCUGCCCUAAAGAAUCCUGAAUUCACUGGGAAAUUGUCCCAGCUGUCCACACUUGAUCUCUGCAUUUUCACCCAGGAAAUAGGGUUCUGGGGUUACAUAGUCUCUAGGGUCCUCCCGUUUCUGAGAUUCUCAUCUCAGGCACUUUUGCUCAUACCUGGGGCCACAUCUGCAUGACAACUCUCAGAAAGGCUAUAUGGUGAGAAAGGCCGCCGUGUUGUGGAGAAAAUAUCUCGGAACUUAUAGAACCUGAAUUGAGUCCCAGCAUCAUCGGUGCAAGUUCCAUAACCCAGGAAAAGUCACUCAAUUACUUUGAGUCUCUACUCAUUUAUCAGAAAAAGGCACUGAGCUGAGUGAUCUCCAAGGCCUGCUUUACUCUAAAAGGUUACUGACUUUUAGAAAGACCCCUUGAUGCUGAGGUUGAAUCAACCAGAUUUUGGUAUUGUGUAGUCUAUGCUGUUUUCUUUGAAAACAUUCUGAAUUCUCACAACACCCAUUCAAGGAAGGUGAAACUUAUUACCAUUUUCCUUUCCAUGAAAGAUUUGCAGGAAUGGAGUCUGCCCUGCACCCAUUUGGAAGACAUGUGAAAAAUUGCCAGGCAAGCAGCUGUUUUCAAUAUAAAGAUUCUUAGCGUCUGUGUGCAGGGUAUCAGAAUGAUCAAAGUUUUCACUUUUAUUCCAGAAAUUUGGGUGUUUUCUUGACUUACCAUGUGAAAAAUACUUAGUUCAGUAUUUGAGUUUGAUCUUUAGCUUGUACACUAUGGCCUUUAAUUUUAAACAAGAUAGAACAAAAUUGUUUUAGUCAUUUCAUUUGGAGGUUUUGGCAUAAAUGUACCCAUCAGUGUGGUCUUUGUUCAAUUGACAUUAAAUGAUUAAUUGUGGAAUAUUUUCAUUUGGGGAGUUUAUCUAGAACUUUAGAAGACCAGUGCUGAAAUUCAGCAGAAGGGUCUAUAUACUCAUUCAAAUGAUAUCUAACGACCACUUUCUAUAUGUCAGGCACUAUUCUAAAGGGUGAACACUCAGCAAUGAACAAGAGAAACAAAAAGCUCUCUUCUAAAGGAGCUUCUAGUCUGUAAUAGACUCUCUAGUAGAGUUUCCAAAGCAUAUUUGAUGGAACUAGAUUUUCCAAGAUGUUAACAGAGAUUACGUAGGCAAACAAAGAUUGAGCUCAAAUAAGGUUAAGAAAUUGCGUACAAAGAAAAUUAAAAUUUUGUUUGUGUAUUGUUGUGGGAUUUCAGUUUUUUCUUUGCUGAGUGCAUUGUGAAUUU
rnacentral:lncRNA from 1 species